UACGUAGGGUCCGAGCGUUGUCCGGAAUUACUGGGCGUAAAGAGCUCGUAGGUGGUUUGUCGCGUUGUUCGUGAAAACUCACAGCUCAACUGUGGGCGUGCGGGCGAUACGGGCAGACUAGAGUACUGCAGGGAGACUGGAAUUCCUGUGUAGCGGUGGAAUGCGCAGAUAUCAGGAGGAACACCGGUGGCGAAGGCGGGUCUCUGGGCCGAUACUGACGCUGAGGAGCGAAAGCGUGGGGAGCGAACAGG
rnacentral:rRNA from 1 species